CCCUUAGAUGUUCUGGGCCGCACGCGUGCUACACUGAGUGGAUCAGCGGGUCAGGUUGCGCGAAAGCGUUUCCUAAUCUUUAAAUCCGCUCGUGAUGGGGAUUGACGGUUGCAAUUUUCUGUCAUGAACGAGGAAUACCUUGUAAGCGCGGGUCAUCAUCCCGCGCUGAAUACGUCCCUGCCCUUUGUACACACCGCCCGUCGCUCCUACCGAUUGAGUGGUCCGGUGAGGCUUUGGGAUCUGAGCGGAAAGAGCGUUUCGCUCCUUUUGCUGGGAGAACUCAGUCGAACCUUAUCAUUUAGAGGAAGGAGAAGUCGUAACA
rnacentral:rRNA from 1 species